CAAAGUAUAGCUUAACCAAAAGCAUUCAGCUUACACCUGAAAGAUGUCUACCAAAACAGGACUACUUUGA
rnacentral:tRNA from 1 species